UAUGUUAUCAGGCGGUGCCAUUAAAAUAUGGCUGAGAAAAUACGCUUAUGACCUGAUCUAGUUAGUACUAGCGGAGGCAAGUGAUAAUAUAUAAAU
rnacentral:ncRNA from 2 species